CCUCUAAGACUGCAUCUCCGCCCUCAGCAUCCAGGGAAACCAGCAGCAGAAGAGCAACCUGGGGAAGAGAACUGUGUCACACCCUGGUGCAGGGUGCAGCAGCCCCACCCAGAGCUCCAGACCCCUGUGUCCAAUGGCCUGGUGAUUGCCUUUUCCUGAAUAUCCCGCAGGAGAGGGGGCCAAGGGUUGCUACGCACCUGGAGAUGGAGUUCUCUGACGCAAUGUCCUUUGGAGUCCGGACUGUUGUGAAGGAAUCGUACAGCCUGAUGGCUGGGACACCCGGCAGCCAUCUUGGGCAGAAGCUCAUGCCAAGGAUGACAUGAAAGAUGGGACCGCGUCCCUGAUGACUGUGAAGCUGCCACACCAGUGCUGGUCUGCCAACCUCUCUACUUGUUGCAUAUGAGAGAAAAAUAAACCUUAUGGUAGACUGUACUAUUGUUGAAAACAUUUGCUACCCUGCCCCACACUAAGAUACACAUUUUCCACUCCACUGACCUGAGGCCUGCCAUAGACUUGCUUUGGCCAGAGCAGUAAAAGUGACAUGGGCCACUUCUAAACAUACAGUUUACCAAGAGCCAUGGGGUGAUUCUCCCUAUUUUCUCUUCCUAUCCACCCCUCCACAUACACACACAAAAAGACCAGCAAUGUUCUAUGUAGGAGCAGCUUCUUCAGCCAGAGUCCCCAAUUAAGAUACAGCAGAGCAGGGCCACACAUGGCCUGCAAAGGAUACUAGUGUGAGUGAGAAAUAAAUCUCUG